UGUGGAAAAAGAGGCUCCUGUGGGCUGGGAACCUCCUCGCGGCCACCGAGGAGGCGGGCCCGGCGUGCUUUUCUCUUGGCAUUUACUGCCCUGAAGAAUGAUUGCGGCUUCCUCCGACCGCCAGAGCCAGAGCCGGAGAGGUGACUUCUCGGGAGACUUUGUUUACUUGGAGCUCGGGGAGGCCCUGGCAUGAGCGAGCUGGGAUCUGCGUCCGGCCUCGGGCUGACCCCCAGGGGCUGCCAUGCACAGCGCCCCUCGGGAACAAGGGGGAGCCUCCCGGGAGGAGGGAGGCAGGACGGGGCCCUGCGGUCCGGCCAGGGUGGCACUGUGGCCCGGGCACCCCGUGGGCACAACACACGCCGGAAACCAUAGCCACCCGAGCCCCAGGUUCUGCAGACCCCAAGGAGUGGACGAUGGGCCCACGGGGCUGUUCACAGGGCCACACUGCAAACAGGAUGCGGGUGCUCGUCCUGGGUCUCAGCCCAGUGGCAGGGAGGGCUUUGCACAGUGAGUGACACCCACGUGGCUCCGCCUGGCCUCCAGCAUGGCACGAAUCCGGCUGGGAGGCCAGAGCACAGCGGUACAGCACCUGCCUGGCGAGCAAGAGGCCCCAGGUUCCAUCCCCGGUACCCCACACCCGACCCGGGUCGGAUUCUGAAGCCCCUGUGUCACCAGUGUGUCCUCCUCCAGCACGGCCUCCACACACCCCACGCGCAGAAGCUGCAUGCUUCCCUCUGCCGUGGGAAGCAGCGGGCGCCCCGGCACCCGGGGUGUCGCCAGAGGAGCCUGGGUGGAUCCCUGGAGCCCCAGCCCCAGCCAUGCCACACUCUGCCGCUUGCUGCUCCCCACGCUGAGGGUUCCCAAGCCCCACUUCCCCUCCCACGGGGACACCGCGGAGGCCGCUUUGGAACGGUUAUCUGUGAUUUCCUGAAAUUAGGUAAAAAAUAUUCGACAUUUUUUUGUUAGCCCAAGUACCUGCUUCCUGGUAGAUUCCAAAUGCUGACCCCAUGGUGACCAGAGGAAGGGGUGUGCCGGACCCGGCCUGGGCGACGUCAGGGUGUCUGGCUGACAGCUCGGGCGGGAGUGUGGCCGGCUCUCUGGUGGCCGCUGGCCACUGAGUCACAGCCACCCCCACCCACGUCCUGUGCCCUCAGCUGGGCCCAGGGCUUCAGUGGCCCAGGUCCUGAACUGUCCCUGGAGCCCCUGGGUCCGAGACUGGGAGCCUUGCCGUUCCCCAGGGAAGCCUCGGUUUCCGCAGAGACCCAGAAACAACCUCUUCCUGCCUCCCGGGAUGCUGAGCGGGUGCAGGGAAGGGCGGCCGCGGGGCACCGAGGAGGAGGCCGUGCGAGCUGGGCUCCGCUGUGCGAUGCCAUCCCUCUGCCCAGCCCGAGCGGCCCUGGCUCGGGUCACCUUGCUCCUUACCCUCCCCCGGUCAGCUCCUUGGCGACGGCAUCCUGGCUCCUGCUCCUCGCGUGACUCUGAAGUCUCCGUUUCUGUCUGGACCUCGGGGCGGCUGCUACCAGAAAGGUCGUCAGCCCGAAAGGAAGUGAGGCCUGAUAGGGCACCGGAGCUGGCCGGGAAAGCCCCUCGGCGCGGGGCUGGCGUGAGGGACGCUGCACACACAGCUUGGAGUUUACAGUGAACCGAUCAUCCAGAGAAAACCACCACCAACAAAACAUCUGUGUCCAUCCAUCGAAGGCCCGAGCCCUCGGGAGGACCAAAACGGCCCGGGAGCCACUUCCUGUCCAGCGCGGGUUCUGCAGAGCCCGGAGAAGGUGCCAGGGCUCCCUUGAGAGGUCUGUCCAGAGCACACACCCUGCAUCGGCCAGCUGGGCAUGGGAGAGGCCAGGGCCAGCUGCGGGGGACCAGCACUGCAGGGAACCCAGGUCUCCCGUCCCCAGGGCCGUGGGGAGCCUCGCGUCAGGGACUGGGGUCCCGCAGGCCCCUUCCUGCCACAGCUUCAUGGAGUUGUAACUUUCACACCCUAAGGCUCCCCUCUGCCGCCUCCUGCUCCUGCUGACCCCAGACCCUUCCCACCUCUGCCCAUCUGGACAGCAUGGUCCUCCCUGCCCACCUCCUCUCAGCAUCCUCCCUCCAGGUCUGCCCGCAACCAGUGUCCAUGCCCCCGUCCUCCUGUGCCUGGGCAGUGGCCCCUAGGUGGUCUGCAGGUAGCAGCCUGGGCCUGGGCUGGCCAGUCUCCCCUCGCAGGUGUGGACCGGCCAUUCCGGGCCCAGCACGCUGACCAAGCUGCCCCCAGAGUGCCCGCAGUCUUUCUCAGCCUCCCUGCGGUGAGUAACAGCUCGGUUUCUGAGCUCCUGUCUCCCCUGCCCGGGGAUGGAGCUCGGGGCCUUGUGCAGGGCACUCACCUCCUCCUCAGCCCUCUGUGUUUCUCUCUGGAGACAGGGUCUCACGAAUGGCCCAGGCUGGCCUUGAGCUAAAGAUCUUCCUGCCUCAGCCUCCCCUGUGUGGUAGCUGGGGUUAUGGGCCUGUACCGCAGCACCCAGCCUGAGCUCACUUUUGGGCAAAGCCCCAGCACAGAGCGAACUUCCUGUGGGUUAACUAGGAAUAGUAAUUAGUAAUCAGGAAUUCUCCCACUCGGGUGACAGCGCUGAUGGACCCAGCAGGCCCAGGAACAAGGGGCCCAGGUGAGGACCUUGGGGAGACCCGGCCCAGCCCGUGCUGUCCCUGGGCAUCAGCCUCUCCCACCCCACAGUGGCUCCUCGAGCACACCUGUCCCCCAGUCAGUGUCCACUCUGCUGAUGGCACUGGCCCUGGGCUGGGUGCUCAGGGAUGUUCUGGGUCAGCAGUGUGGUCACGCUGUGUCCUCACCACGGGGAAGACUUGGGGGAGUCAGUGCUCCAUGCCAACUUCUGGUCCACUGCCGCCUGGCCGAGGGAUUGGACCGAGGCUUGCAGGGCAUAGGUACAGUGCUGGCAGAGGACGUCACGGCCACCUUUCUGGAUUCUCCAGAGAUGUGGGGCGAGGGCAGUGGACUAGUCCUCAGCCCCCACCCCCAACGUCCACUCCACCCCAGACGCAGCCCCCGGCUCCAGGCACAGGAGGAAGAGAGGCUGCCCUUAGCCGUGCCCUGCAGCUCCAUAAAGUGGGCACAGAUGGUGCUGGGCCCUGGGGCCAGGGUGGAUGCCCUGAAGUGACAACCUCGGACCUCUAAAGUGAUCUCCGGGCCUGGCCGCCAUACUGUGACCUGAAGACCUCCACCAGCACUGCCUCGGGAUGGGCACCCGUGACAGCUGAGGCUCAGGGUCCCCUGGGACGCAGGUGACCCCCUCGAGGUCCCGAGAGACCAAGGCGCAGAGCCCACUGGCAAACCAGCGCCUGGCCAGGAGCCCAAACCUGGGAGCCUGCGGAAAUCACUUCUGAUCAACCUUCUGACGGUCAGCGCGCUCCAGGCUGAGAAGUCCUGCCUGGGGGCCUGCUGAGAUCUGGGCUCCAGGGCAGCCCUGUUCCUGCCUGGCCGCACUGGGCCCCCGGACAGGAGUUUCCGUGUCAUGUCGUGUGAAAAUGCACAGUGUCACAGCCUGGGAUGGUUGGCUGGCGCUGCCUACCAACUUAAUGACAGAGAGGACCCAGGAGAACUUUGUGAAUACUCACACCGAUGGCAUUUAACCUCGGGCUUCCUGGCAGCCAGAGGAAAAGGUGAAACAAGUUGGGUUAUUUGAUGCUCAUUAUCCAAAGGGUGGAACUGCACGGGCUGGUUCUCCAACUGAAUCUCAGAUGCUGCGGCUGCUGAGGAACCGUUUCUUCAUGCUGAUUUCCAGAGUUAUGGUGAUUUACUUACUUUUUUGUCUUUUUGAGACAGGGUGUUGCUACGCAGUUCAGGCUGGCCUUGAGCUCACUUUGUAGCCCAGGCUGGUCUCGAACUCGCAGCGAUCCUCCUGCCUCCCAAGUGCUGGGGUUACAGGCGUGCACCACCACGCCGGCUACUCAUGGUAAAUUAAUGAGUACAAUAAUGAAAUGAAAGCACAGUUGUCUCAUUUAAUGCACAAGUUCUUUGAAGAAAAUAACAUGCCACACUAACCCACUGUUUAUUCCUGUCUGUUUCGGAAUCUGGGAUCACGGAUGGCAUUCUCUCUUUCCAUUUUAAAAUGAAGUUAAUAAGUGAAUAAAGCAAGUUAAGGGUGACGAGGGUCCUGUGGCCCUGCUCAUCAAACACACAGAGCUGUGCAUGGAGAAGAUCACCGUGCUGUUCCUG